rnacentral:misc_RNA from 1 species
GAUGAAGAACGCAGUGAAAUGCGAUAAGUAAUGUGAAUUGCAGAAUUCAGUGAAUCAUCGAAUCUUUGAACGCACAUUGCGCCCAUUAGUAUUCUAGUGGGCAUGCCUGUUCGAGCGUCAUUAAGUCCACUUAAGCCCUGCUUAGUGUUGGGAGACUGCUCCAGCGGUGCUACCCUGUAGCUACCCUGCAGCUCCUCAAAGACAGCGGCGGAGUUGUGGUAUCCUCUGAGCUUAGUAACUUGUUCUAGCUUUCGAGUACACCACUUCCCCUGCCGUAAAACCCUUAAUUUUUAAUGGUUGACCUCGGAUCAGGUAGGAAUACCCGCUGAACUUAAGCAUAUCAAUAAGCGGGGA